rnacentral:tRNA from 1 species
UGGGCUAUAGCCAAGCGGUAAGGCACAGGACUUUGACUCCUGCAUUCGUUGGUCCGAAUCCAACUAGCCCAG